rnacentral:rRNA from 1 species
UACGUAGGGUGCAAGCGUUGUCCGGAAUUAUUGGGCGUAAAGAGCUCGUAGGCGGUUCGUCGCGUCGGCUGUGAAAACCCGGAGCUCAACUCCGGGCCUGCAGUCGAUACGGGCGGACUUGAGUGUUGCAGGGGAGACUGGAAUUCCUGGCGUAGCGGUGAAAUGCGCAGAUAUCAGGAGGAACACCGGUGGCGAAGGCGGGUCUCUGGGCAACUACUGACGCUGAGGAGCGAAAGCGUGGGGAGCGAACAGG